ACGAACGCUGGCGGCGUGCUUAACACAUGCAAGUCGAGCGGUAAGGCCCUUUCGGGGAUACACGAGCGGCGAACGGGUGAGUAACACGUGGGUGACCUGCCCUCAGCUCUGGGAUAAGCCUGGGAAACCGGGUCUAAUACCGGAUAUGACUCCAUGACGCAUGUUGUGGGGUGGAAAGCCUUGUGCGGCUGAGGAUGGGCCCGCGGCCUAUCAGCUUGUUGGGGGGUGAUGGCCUACCAAGGCGACGACGGGUAGCCGGCCUGAGAGGGCGACCGGCCACACUGGGACUGAGACACGGCCCAGACUCCUACGGGAGGCAGCAGUGGGGAAUCUUGCGCAAUGGGCGAAAGCCUGACGCAGCGACGCCGCGUGAGGGAUGACGGCCUGGUGUAAC
rnacentral:rRNA from 1 species